GGCGAUGUAGCUCAGUCGGUUAGAGCAACGGCUUCAUAAGCCGUGUGUCGGUGGUUCGAGUCCACUCAUCGCUA
rnacentral:tRNA from 2 species